rnacentral:misc_RNA from 1 species
AGCAGCCGCGGUAAUUCCAGCUCCAAUAGCGUAUAUUAAAGUUGUUGCAGUUAAAAAGCUCGUAGUUGAAUUUCGGGAUUGGCGCAUCGGUCGUGCCUCACGGGGUAUGAACUGGUGCAGUCAAUUUCUCACCUUCUGGAGAACCGCGAUGUCCUUAAUUGGAUGCCGCGGGGAACCAGGACCUUUACUUUGAAAAAUUAGAGUGUUUAAAGCAGGCAUUUUUGCUUGAAUACAUUAGCAUGGAAUAAUAAAAUAGGACGGCAUGGUUCUAUUUUGUUGGUUUCUAGGACCACCGUAAUGAUUAAUAGGGAUAGUUGGGGGCAUUAGUAUUCAAUUGUCAGAGGUGAAAUUCUUGGAUUUAUUGAAGACUAACUACUGCGAAAGCAUUUGCCAAGGAUGUUUUCAUUAAUCAAGAACGAAAGUUAGGGGAUCGAAGACGAUCAGAUACCGUCGUAGUCUUAACCAUAAACUAUGCCGACUAGGAAUCAGAC